AAGAGUAUAGUUUAAAGGUAAAACAGAAAGCUUCAACCUUUAAUUUCUUAGUUCGAGUCUAAGUGCUCUUG
rnacentral:tRNA from 11 species